rnacentral:pre_miRNA from 1 species
AUACUACCGCCUCUGUACGGAAAUACUUGUUGAAGAAAUGGACGUAUGUCGGAGAAAUGGAUGUAUCUAGACGUGUUUUAGUUUUAGAUACAUCCAUUUUUAUCCAUUUCUCAGACAAGUAUUUUUAGAUGGAGGAAAUAUAUU